GGUGGCUAUUGCCAAGUACGUAGACGUUGAUUUACUUGCUAGGCCUGAUUGGAUUUUUCAUCUUUUUUACCCGUUAUUCCCUUUGGACCUAUUGAUCUGCGAAUUUUCUUUACAACUGACGGUGCCUCAUUAUGUGAUACUGAAACUAAACAAAGGUGCGUAUUUGGGAAAUUGAUAAUCAAAUAUUGGACUUCGAAUCAACAGAAAGGAGAUGCUUUGUGACCAAAUAUAUAUCUCUGAAACGUCUGCACAAUAAUGUUAUAGUUUAUGUUAGAUGGCAAAGUAUCAGAUUUUUAUUAUGACAGCAAGAUGCCAACGCAAGGUGCUUGUGCAUGAAUAAACCAUAUGAAUAUGAGAUGCACAACUUCCUGUGCAAUUCUGAGACUUUUGGGCAAGUCAUCUCCAUAGGUGUGAAGGAAGAUUCUGAUUACAUAUAAGAAAAUCAUCCAACUUUUUGUUCAUCUGCAUCCAAGCGGCGAUACCGCCUGCAAGAUAUACUCCAUCGCUUCUAAGCAUCACAUCGGCAGGUCGAUUCCUCGGGUGGAUUGGAUUCUCACCCGCUCCAAGUGAAACUUGAGCGACGGCAUGCAAGGGACUACCAAAGAAGAAGAGAUGAUGCGGGUUCAGAAUCUGACAUUAUCUGUGUUAGUGCUGGCAGAUCCAAAGGCGGAAAGAAACGGACAGUUUCACACACUAGCAACCGUAGGAUCAUCAGCAAAAAGCAUACCGUGAUGAAAAAAAAAUCAGAAUCCCAACAAAAGUGCUUUUCGAUGCUAUGAUGCAGCAGCUAGGCCUCCCAAAUGCAGUGUACUCAACACAGAAGGCAAGAGCAAUUGGUCUUGACACAACUAUUCACUUCUAUCCUUCCAAGCAUCAAUUGGACAACAAAUCUUCCAAGACAAUCAAUAUCAAUCCAUGUAUCCAACAAACUAGGAGAUGCUGAAGACCAACUAGCAAACGAAGCUCUCAAGUACAUGAAAAGCAUCCACGGUAAAGUGUUGCAGGACAUAAACUAUGACAAGAUGUAACUGCUCCAGCAAAAGUGUGAAUCUCUUGAGCAUCAGCAGAAAGAAAAACACAACCUAAUAGACUAUUUUAGCAAUAGCUGGUGCCAUAGCCUCGGUGGAGAUCACAUGGCAUCAAAGGAACUUUACUGUAUAAUAGAUAGCAACUUCACAGCCGGAUCAACGUCCAAAGACAAUGAUCUGAAUCAUAUUUUGUCGCAAGUAAGAUAUGUUGUUAA